AGUGGCCAGGGGGGCAGCUGGAGACACAGAUUCUGCAUUGUGGGAUGAUAAGAAAGAAGGGCAACGUCACCAAUGACUGAGUCCUCCAAAUAGCUGUCCUUGGUCUCAACAUCCUUUUUAAACCAUGAUGGUACAUUUUGUGUUUUGUGAUUCAGUAUUGGUUUCACCAUGUGACUUAGACAAAGAGGCAGUGGGCUUGUGCAGCAGCAUCUUGCCUAUAUGAAGUACUCUUGGGUUCAGCGCUUUGCAAAGAGUAAAGCAGAUGUCCGCUGUUGAAGAAUGCAUGUGCAACUGAAGCCAGUGACCUUGUAAUCCACCAAAUGCCUGUGACGGAAUCCACAGCGCCUCUGCUCACAAGUUUCCUCUCUGAAGUCAUUUUGGGGGAAGCCAACAAAAAAUUCCAAAAUAUGCAGGAAGAGCCUGGAAAGUCUGAGGAGGCUGAGUUUUCCAAGCAAACAGCAACUGCGAAAGGGUUGUUUUUCUAGAAUGGAGGGGGCUUGAGACAUAAGAGCCACAGAUGUGUGAAGCAAACCUUUGCACUUCACAGUGUUUCACCUACAUAAUUUUUCAAGUUCAACACAGAUGAGUAGUGGUAAAGAAAAGAAAAGAAAAAAAAAGCAGAGAAAAAAAGAUCUUCCCUGGCUUUGGUAAUAAGCUGCUGUGAUCUCCAAGGAAUCAUGUAAUUGUGCAUCUUCAGGCCUUGCUGGCUGGAAAGAAGCAUCAGGCAGGUAAUGACAACUACCUGGCUGCCAACAGCUGAGACCCCUGUCUGUGGAGGGAGAAGGGCAAGCUCAGCGAUCUGAUGCCAAAGCAUCUGUCUGUUCUGUGCACCAGCACACACUUUUUCUGGCUAAGCUGAGCUUCAUAAAUACUAAGCCCACGUCUCCCCAUGCCCGAAUGGAAGACGUUAGGUUUUAAAGAAUACAGCAAGUCUUCCAAGCACAGAAGUAAAAUGCAUUUGAGGAUUUUAGAAUCUGUACUCCUGGGCGGCAUCACCUAGAAGUGCUA